rnacentral:rRNA from 1 species
CCUACGGGUGGCAGCAGUAGGGAAUAUUGCACAAUGGGGGAAACCCUGAUGCAGCGACGCCGCGUGAGUGAAGAAGUAUUUCGGUACGUAAAGCUCUAUCAGCAGGGAAGAAAAUGACGGUACCUGACUAAGAACCCCCGGCUAACUACGUGCCAGCAGCCGCGGUAAUACGUAGGGGGCAAGCGUUAGCCGGAUUUACUGGGGGUAAAGGUAGCGUAGACGGCAGCGCAAGUCUGGAGUGAAAUCCGGGGGCUUAACCAUGGAACUGCUUUGGAAACUGUGCGGCUGGAGUGCAGGAGAGGUAAGCGGAAUUCCUAGUGUAGCGGUGAAAUGCGUAGAUAUUAGGAGGAACACCAGUGGCGAAGGCGGCUUACUGGCCUGUAACUGACGUUGAGGCUCGAAAGCGUGGGGAGCAAACAGGAUUAGAUACCCCAGUAGUC